AGCGGUGGACAUGUGGUUUAUUCGAUGCAACGCGAAGAACCUUACCUACUCUUGACAUCCAGAGAACUUUCCAGAGAUGGUUUGGUGCCUUCGGGAACUCUGAGACAGGUGCUGCAUGGCUGUCGUCAGCUCGUGUUGUGAAAUGUUGGGUUAAGUCCCGCAACGAGCGCAACCCUUAUCCUUUGUUGCCAGCGGUCCGGCCGGGAACUCAAAGGAGACUGCCAGUGAUAAACUGGAGGAAGGUGGGGAUGACGUCAAGUCAUCAUGGCCCUUACGAGUAGGGCUACACACGUGCUACAAUGGCGCAUACAAAGAGAAGCGACCUCGCGAGAGCAAGCGGACCUCAUAAAGUGCGUCGUAGUCCGGAUUGGAGUCUGCAACUCGACUCCAUGAAGUCGGAAUCGCUAGUAAUCGUGGAUCAGAAUGCCACGGUGAAUACGUUCCCGGGCCUUGUACAACCGGCCCGU
rnacentral:rRNA from 1 species